rnacentral:rRNA from 1 species
CCUACGGGAGGGGCAGUGGGAAUCUUGCGCAAUGAUCGCAAGGCUGACGCACCGACGCCGCGUGCAGAACGAAGGCCUUCGGGUUGUAAACUCCUUUUCUGGGGGACGAAUAAGACCAGCCGGCAAUGGUUGGUCGAUGACGGUACCCCAGGAACCAGCGCCGGCUAACUUCGUGCCAGCCGCCGCGGUAAGACGAAGGGCGCAAGCGUUAUCCGGAAUCACUGGCCGUAAAGGGCGUCUAGGCGGGCAAUCAAGUCGACGUUGAAAGCCCUUGCCUAAACUGACGCAGGUACGUCGAAACUGAUUGGCUCGAGAAACGUACAACAAGGCGGAACUCUGGGAGUACUGAUGAAAUGCGUACAGACCUAAAGGUAUCCCGAUGCUGAAAACAGCCUUCUGCUCGUCUCCUGACGCUGAAGCGCUAAGAGCAGGAGAGCGACGGGGACUAUAUACACACCUAGUCGUGCCUUCCAUGGAUGUGAGCUUGUAGUCGGAUCCCA